AGGGAUGUAGCUCAAUUGAUAGAGCAUCAAUUGAUAGAGCAUUAAUAACUAGGCACGGGGUUCGAUUCCUCGCAUCUCCA
rnacentral:tRNA from 1 species